CGAAGGAUCCAAGCGUUAUCCGGAUUUAUGGGUUAAAGGGUGCGUAGGCGGAUUUGAUAAGUCAGUGGUGAAAGCCUGUUGCUUAACAACAGAACUGCCAUUGAUACUGUCAAUCUUGAAUAUGUUUGAUGUGGGCGGAAUAUGACAUGUAGCGGUGAAAUGCUUAGAUAUGUCAUAGAACACCGAUUGCGAAGGCAGCUCACAAAGCCAUUAUUGACGCUGAGGCACGAAAGCGUGGGGAUCAAACAGGAUUAGAUACCCUGGUAGUCCACGCUGUAAACUUUGAUCACUCGCUGUUGGCGAUACACUGUCAGCGGCUAAGCGAAAGCGUUAAGUGAUCCACCUGGGGAGUACGAUCGCAAGAUUG
rnacentral:rRNA from 1 species